UCUUCCACUUUCACUUUCUGCCUCUCUCUCUAGCGAUAAGCGAUUCUAAAACCAAAAAACCUCUAAAUCGUAUAUUAUUUUCUUCUUUACUCUUUUUUCUCUUCUUCAUCUCCUUCACACCUUCUUCUUCUUCCUCCCUAGGGUUAAGAGUAUUGCAACGACAGGAGAAUCAUGAUACUGGCCGGAUCUCUUCUACUCCUGCCACUGCCACGCCGCCUCCACCUCCGCACUCCUCUGACUACGCUCCUUACCCAAAACUCGACUCUACCGACGUCACUCCUCCUCCUUCCCAGCCCAUCCCCGCCGCCGCCACCACCAUGCCUCCGGAGUCCAAUCCUUAUAUUUUUCCUGCCCCUGUUCCAAGAAUACGAUGGAUUCGAUUAAGGAUACGCUAGGUAAAUGGGGGAAGAUGGCUGCCGAAGCUGGUGAACAGGUUUGUGCAGAUAUACUUGCCAUUGUUGAGGCUGGUGAACAGGUUUGUUCUUGUUUUUUGUUCAGGAAGUAUCAGUUAAACACUUGACUGGAGUUGUUAUGUUCUUUGCUUUCAGACUGGUCUCUUUUCAUGUCAGAUUAGUUGGUCGGUGGCUCUCUUAUCUUCGUCUGCAGGUUCUGUUCUGCAAUAUCCAGAAACCAAAAGAGAAGCUCUUCUUUGAGCAAGAGCUUUCUAUAUCUAAUAUUCAUGUCUUUGUCAUUUAAUUAAAUGGGCCUCAGGAAAAAAUUGAACAAGGUAGCUUAAGCUGCUUUGCAUUACUCUGUUAAUGAUAUAAUCAUGAUAUGGUCUAUUUGUUAGGAAUCUUAUACGUAGAAGUGGUUGAUAUAUAUAUUUUAGGCUACUAUCGUCUUUGGUUUUCUUGUAAAAGUAUAUUCUUUUUUUGCAAACAGAGACACCAUACUAGAAAAGCGUCAGUUGAAUUAUCGUAAUUUGGUAGUUUUAUGAAUGAAGUUUUCUUUGAGAUAUUUAGUCUCUGUUAUGCUAGCUUAUCUUACAAUAUGAAUUUAGUCGGUGGUCCAACCGUGUCGGUGGUCCAACCGUGUCGGUCGUCCAACCCACCCUCUUCUCGCCGAUAGUGCUCUCACCACUCUCAUCGCCAAGCCCAAUGGUUCCUCCCGUGAUUUCUUGUCUUCUUCUCUCGGGAGGUGGCAGAACCGUAACUCCAACUCCGAUCGUGGUUUGAUUCAAGCCUUUAAAACUAUCGCCACCAUGUCUGAAAGGUAGUCCCAUUUUCUGAUUUUCGUUUAUCACCCCCCCUUCUGAGAUAUUGGAUUUGGACUUUACAAAGCAUUGAAAACGUUUAGAUCACAUGGUUUCUUAAUGAGAGUACAUGGUUUAUGCAAUGUUGUCUCCGCUUGGUGAUUGGUCUUUGUAUGUGCUUGCUUUGAUUUAUAUCACGCAUGCAAUAUGAAUUUAUGUCUGGAGGUAUGGUGUCUUUGAUUUAUAUCACGCAUGCAAUAUACUCUCAUGUAUACAAUAUGAAUUUAGUCUCUGUUAGAUCCUUGGUGUAAUAGUCAUGUUGAUCGCUGCAAUAAAUGCGAGAAUUGUUUCAUUAACAAGCAUUAUUACUCUUUCUAGCUGUACUUGCAUUAUGACAAUGAUUUAGCAGUUUCUAUUCACGUACACUGGUUAAAUAAUUUUCAUGAAAUUUUUGUUUUUCUGCCUAUCCCCAAAUUCAACAAGAGGCCGUGAUAAAUCUCAAUAUGUUACUACAACAUCAGCAAGCAAGUUGCCUACAGAACUCCCGGCAAAACAGGAACAACCAAAGUGCAAAGACAGUAAGCUCGUUCAAGCUACAGUGGGUGUGAGAUGGACAAUGAGAAAUUGUUACGAGUUUGUGUUCGAUAGUUUGUGUUCACGAAGUUAUGUAUAAAUAAUCUGCUCAUUUUAAUACAACAAAAACAAACCGUCUCUCAUGUAUCUAAACUGAGUGAUCAAGAAGGAACAAAAUAAAAAGAGAGUUGUGGUUUUCAAAA